rnacentral:rRNA from 1 species
AGCGAACGCUGGCGGCAGGCCUAACACAUGCAAGUCGAACGGAUCCUUCGGGAUUAGUGGCGGACGGGUGAGUAACACGUGUGAACGUGCCCUUUGGUUCGGAACAACUCAGGGAAACUUGAGCUAAUACCGGAUGUGCCCUUCGGGGGAAAGAUUUAUCGCCAUUGGAGCGGCCCGCGUCUGAUUAGCUAGUUGGUGAGGUAACGGCCCACCAAGGCGACGAUCAGUAGCUGGUCUGAGAGGAUGAUCAGCCACACUGGGACUGAGACACGGCCCAGACUCCUACGGGAGGCAGCAGUGGGGAAUCUUGCGCAAUGGGCGAAAGCCUGACGCAGCCAUGCCGCGUGAAUGAUGAAGGUCUUAGGAUUGUAAAAUUCUUUCAGCGGGGACGAUAAUGACGGUACCCGCAGAAGAAGCUCCGGCUAACUUCGUG